UGGCUGCUCUGAGCUGUAUGUGCUGGGUCCCGGACUCCUGAGGUCGGGUGGAGACUGAGGGGACCGAGAAGGCGCGAGGGGAGGCGCUGUCCCCGCCGCGCAGACUGGCGUCCGCGACUCCUCAACGCCGCCCGGGCUGCCCCGCGCCGGGGCCGGGACGGGGACCGCUGGCCCGGGUGUCCGCUCCGCCCAGAGUCAGAUGGCGGCGACCGCGCGCAGGGACCCGGCUCAGACCGUUAUCAGUACAGAAGCACUUAUGAACCCUGCAGAGAGUUGUGUGACUUUUGAGGAUGUGGCCGUGUACUUCUCCCAAGAGGAGUGGGGGCUCCUUGAUGAGGCUCAGAGGUUCCUGUACCACGACGUGAUGCUGGAGACCUUUGCACUUACAACAUCCCUGGAUUGUUGGUGUGGAGCAGAGAAUGAGGAAGUACCUUCUGAGCAGAGUGUUUCUGUAGAAAGAGUGUCACAGGUCAGGACUUCUAAGACAGGUUUGUCAAUCCAGAAGACUCACCUCUGUGAGAAUUGUGUCCCAGUCUUGAAAGACAAUUUGCAACCUGCUGAGCUCCGAGCAGCAUAUUCUGGGCAGAAAUCAUACUUGGGUGGGGCGACCAGAGGCUUCUGGUUUGGUGCAAACCUUCACCAGUAUCAAAAGCAUGACAGUGGAGAGAAAAUGUUCAAAAUGGAUAUGGACAGUGCCUUGUUAGUGACGAGCUGCAGAUUCCACGUGUCAGCGAGGCCCUUUGCCAGUGGGGAAGGUGGAAAGGACUUUCUAGCUCCCUCAGGCCUUCUCCAGCACCUGGAUAUGCCCAAUAGCGAGAAGCCCCAGAGCAGCAUUGAGUGUGGGGAGCCCUUUACCAGCGGAAUAAGUCACAAGUGGAUCAAAUGCAGGAGAGCUUUCAGCAACAUUCACACUCUUGACCACCAGAGAUUCCACGAUGGAGAAGGUCUUGAAGAAUGUAGCAAAUGUGGAAAAGAUGUCCGCUGUAAAUACAGACCUUUUCAGCACCAGAAAAUUCACACCGAAGAAAGAUCUUACAAGUGUAGUGAAUGUGGGAGGUUCUUUAGUCGCAAAACCCAUCUCAUUCGACACUGGAGAGUUCACACUGGAGCAAAGCCUUAUGAGUGCAUAGAAUGUGGCAGAUCUUUCAGCCAGAAAUCUGACCUCAUUCAACACCAAAGAGUUCAUACUGGAGAGAGGCCGUACGAGUGCAGUGAAUGUGGGAAGUCCUUUAUCCAAAAAUCUAUCCUUAUUAAACACCUGAGAGUUCAUACUAAUGAAAGGCCUUACAAAUGCAUUGAAUGUGGGAAAUCAUUUACCCAAAGUUCUGGCCUUCUUCGCCACAAGAGAGCUCACGCUAGAGCAAGGCCUUAUGAAUGCACUGAAUGUGGGAAAUCAUUUAGUUGUAAAACCCACCUCAUGAGACACUGGAGAGUUCACACUGGAGUAAGGCCUUAUGAUUGCAUUGAAUGUGGGAAAUCUUUUAGUGAGAAAUCUGUCCUCAUUCAACACCAAAGAGUUCACACUGGAGAAAGGCCUUAUGAGUGCAGUGAAUGUGGGAAAUCCUUUAGCCAGAAAUCUGUCCUCAUUCAACACCAAAGAGUUCACACGGGAGAAAAGCCGUAUGAAUGCAGUGAAUGUGGGAAAUCCUUCAGCCGUAAAACCCACCUUGUUCGACACCAGACAGUUCACUCUGGAGCAAAGCCUUAUGAGUGCAGUGAGUGUGGGAAAUCCUUUAGCCAGAGCUCUGGCCUCCUUCGACAUAGGAGAGCUCACCUGCAGUGAAUGAGAAAUCCUUUAGCUGCAAACUGAGCUCAGUCAACACCAAAGAGUUCACACAAAGUGAAACAGAUGCAGAGAAUGUGCCCUUUCCUAACUUAGUUUAAUUGUGGUGGAGGAAAGCCUCUUGAGCCAUCUGCCUGAACUGAAUUUUAUAGAUCUGAAAACAUCUACAGACUGGAGAUUUCCCUGUGAGUUUCAGUUAUGCGGGAAGCAUGUACAACCUGUCCAAGCUCCUUGCCAGGUUGAUGUCACUGCCAGUUUCAGUGGCAGCAGCCACUUCAGCUCUACCACGUGACCAGUCCCCACAGUGUGCGUCAGUCACCUUGGUCUGCUUGUCAAAGCUGACCUCUGCUCUCCCAUGUGCUAGAGGAAAUCAAGAGUAUCCUGAGCCUUAUGAGAUCUUCAUUCCCUUCUCUCUUGACAAGUUAGCACAUGGGCUUGACCCUCUGUUGGCCUCUAGAACACUAUCUGGGUUCUGCUGAUGGCCUGCGCAGAAGAACUAGCUUUUUGAGAGAUCUAACUGGUCUCAGGGAGUGCUCUUGAUGAGGUUUUCCAGCUUCCAAGUCAUCGAACCGGAAACUGUUGCACAGCUUUGGCUGGUUUGUGCAAUAAUAAAGGCCUUUCUGUUUAAGCACCUUUAAUCUUAGAAACUCUGUCCACAGUGUAGGGUAGCUUGAAGGACUCCCAACUUGAAGUGGAAAGUUGUGAGGGGAUGCAAACGUUGGGUGCCUCAGAGGGGACAGUGUGAUGGUGGAGUGUAGUGCUCUCCAGUUGUAUCAUAGUCUGCGUUGCUGCCAGGACCUCCUAGGAAAGACUGCUCUGUGGUCCUGAGUUUUUGCCUGGAUGCCAGAGGUCACCCUGAGAAAGGGGCAGUUGUGACAACACCUGUGCUUUUGGAGACAACGUGAAUUUUUCCUUGUUCGUGGGAUACCUCAGUGCCCAGCAGUGCUGAGGAAAAUCAGCCCCAGGUCCUGCAGAGGAGCUGUGCACCCUGAUACCCAGAGCUCAGUAGGCCAGUGUCGCUGGCUGUAAGACUGCAGGGGCAAGGGAACCCAUAAUUGGCACAGAAACACUAUCAACAGAGCGUGGGGGAGACUGCCGCAGGGUACAUGGAGUGUGCCUCUCCCGGGUGUGCACCCACAGGUGUUUCGGUGACUGACUGCAGGCUGCGAGUGUACAGAAAUCUCAGGAUCUCCAGCGUGUGAGACUUCCAACUCCUUCGCACCCUUGUCAGUGCCUGAUAGCAUUCUGUACCCGAAUUUUCCAAGUUUCUCUGGAGAUACGCAUACUCAGCAUCACUGUGAAGGCUAAAGGAGUGAAUUUCGGUGAUAAAGUUUAUCCAAGAGGAGUGACGCUGUUGUAUUAAUCAUUAUUUUCUGUACAUUUUGAUAUUUUUAUGUCUUAAAUAACCUUUUGGCUGGGGCUGGCCAAUUCUUGGUGAUACCAGAGGGCCCAGUCGGGAGCACGUCUCUGCUGUGCAAACGGACCAGUCUAGAGCCACACCUCCUCCGUGUGGCCCACAUACCCCACCAGGCAGUAUUCCUCAGCCUGGAUCACUCCAGGACCAGGUGCCAGGCAAGUAGGGACCACCCCUGGGGCCUGAAGCCUGCUGAGGUAACUCCAGCCAGCCAGUCCUAACCUGCUCCCCUGGCCCUGCCUCGCCUUCUCAGAAACCCUGGGAAAGUCUUCUGGCCCAGGUUCUCCCCUGGCUCGUGCUUCUUGACCCAAACCUGGUCUUCCUUCUGUGGCUCUGCCUGGCUCUUCCUUCAGUGGUGCUGACCUCUGUCACUACUCGGGCACCUUUGUACACGGAACAGGUGCAGUGAGGGCCGUGGCUGCCCGCCCGGACAUCCCAGGCUGCAGAUGCUUCCCUCAGGAGGGCGCAGCUAGCCGCCGCCACUGCUGCUUUCUGUGCCUGCCGUGUGCCGCCGUGACGUUCCAACCUGAACCUUCCAGAUUGACUUGAUGAAAGGAGACGCCAUAAUGCCUAUUUGGAAUAUUACCAUGGCCCAAUGUAAGUUAAAAUAAGACCUUCAAGGGUUAAAACUUACUGUGUGAAGACUAGUUGAUAAGGGGGUGGUUUCCCCACUGUUCCACCACUUGACAGCCCAAUUUUGCUUUUUCUGGAUUCUGGAAAUAACCGGGUUCCUCAUGAUUAAUUUCUAUGGCCGGGAUGCUGUGGUCCCAUCCAUGAAGGCCCCACGCCCAAUAUUAUUAAAGUUACUGAUUCUGUUCAAUCAGUAACUGAUCAGUAUUUUGUGCUUGUCGAUUUGGCUGACGUGUUCUGUUUAUUUCAGCCUAUUUUAACCGCCUCUCAAACGCAGUUUGUUUCCACUUGCAACGGGGACACAAGACUCUUUUCCCAGUUCACACACGGGCUACAAUGACAGCUUUGCCAUCAGUCUGCACACGUCCACCUUUCUCCAAAAGCACAGGUGUGACACUACAUUGAUGCUGUCCUCCUCCAAGGAGACUCACUUGACACACUUAUUGAGGACAUGGAAGUCCAGCGUCGUUUAGUCCUUUGGGUUCUAGUGCUGACAUACUCCUCGUUACAGAUCUCACUUCCAAAUUCAGAUCAGCAGGCAUUCCUGUUGCCUCCCUCGUAAACUCGUUUCCUUAGAGGCUUUGGCAGCCUCGCGCCUCCUGGGGUCUAAUACUUUGGAUGGGCAUUAGUUGUUCGAGGGCUUCUGACACAAGAAACCCCCUCUCCACCUUGUGCCGUACACCAUUAAAACCACAACGGGGGUGGUGGGGGAAGCCACAAGUGACUGGCUAUGUGCCGGGCCGUUCUGGAAGUGGAGGCUCACAUAGACCCUGAGCUUGUGACCCUCCACACCCAGUUGCCGUUGCAUUUUGGGUCAUCGAAACACCACCCCACAGGCUCCUCUGUUUGUAUGUGAACACCAGGAGGCCAUGUUCCUCAACCUCGGUCAUCCCAGGGCCAGUCCGCCUGGCAACUCAAAGACCACCUUUAUGAUUCAGAACCCGCCAAAAUUAUGCAGACUAGUCAUUCCUAAGGUGUUCACCCUGCCGUGCCUUAUGUUUUUUUCAGAACCCCCCAGUAGAGUCUUCUGGCCUAGGCUCUCCCUGUGCUCCUACUUCUGUUUUAUGACCCAAAUCUGGUGUUCCUUCUGUGAAUGCAUGCCCUGCCUCCCACUUCUAAGUGAGUUGUGAGGGACAUGAACAUUUUCUUUCGGUGGCAUUGACCUCUCAUGUCAUCACUUACACAUUAUGCUUUUACACCUGGCACAGAACUACUGUCAAUAGGUAUUUUAAUAAUCUCUAUAGAGUUAAUGAAAUUACAGUUAAAAUUCUUAAAUUUUUUUUUUCCCCAGAGGAGUUGAAAAGCUUACUUGGAAACUAGUAUUAAAAAUAAGCAUAUGGCCAAGAAUAGUCAAGACAUGUAACGAGGGCUAAUCACAUAUUUUCUGUGGUUUGUUAUUAUGACAGGAUAUUAUAUUUAUAUCCAUUAAGGCAGAACAGAUUCUUGGGUCCUACUAAAUGUACCCCUACCCCUUCCCACCUCCCCGCCAAUCUAAAAACUCCUUUAUUCCUACGUAGAGAUAAGGGAACAUAUUGAACUUAUACCAGAGUAUCCUGAGGAGUAAACUGAGAUACUUGAAGAAACUAGUGAUAAUAGAAGCAGAAGAUUAAAGCAUUUUAAUACUUUCUUGCAGGAAACAUUGUUCUUAUAUGCUUUUUAAUGUUUAUUUAUUUUGAGAGAGAGAUUCCCAAGCAGGCUCCAUGCUGUCAGAGCCCAAUGUGGGGCUUGAUCUCAUGAACUGUGAGAUCAUUACCUGAGCUGAAAUCAAGAGUGGGACACUUAACCAACUGAGCCACCAAGGCACCCCUGUUCUUAUAUUUUCUUCUAGAAAAGUUUCAGACGUCUAGAAAUGUCAUAAUAAUACUUCAGUGAACACCAAUAUGCCCUUGAACACCCAUCACCUAGUGUUUACACAUUAGUAACAUGCUCACUCCCAUCUAGCACCCCACAAUACUUUUAUGUUUAUCAUCUAAGCAUCAUAGCAACCGUGUUGCUAUCAAGUUUAGGAAAUUUAACAUCGAUAAAUGGUAUCGAAUAAACACUUCCAUUUUUACCAAUUGCUAGAGAUAUUUCCGUUGUAAUCUUUUCUGAUCCAUGAUCCAUUCUAGAGUCAUAGAUUUUGUUAUGUAUCUCAGCCUCUUUCAAUUUGGAGCACUUCAACCUUUGUCUUUCAUGGAACUGCCUUUUUGAAAAUUAAUGGUUAUGGGCGCCUGGGUGGCUCAGUCGGUUAAGAGUCCAUCUUGGGCUCAGGUCAUGAUCUUGCGGUUCGUGAGUUCAAGCCCCUUGUCGGGCUUUGUGUUGACA